rnacentral:rRNA from 1 species
UACGUAGGGUGCGAGCGUUGUCCGGAAUUAUUGGGCGUAAAGGGCUCGUAGGCGGUCUGUCGCGUCUGCUGUGAAAACUCAGGGCUUAACCCUGAGCUUGCAGUGGGUACGGGCAGACUAGAGUGCGGUAGGGGAGACUGGAAUUCCUGGUGUAGCGGUGAAAUGCGCAGAUAUCAGGAGGAAUACCGGUGGCGAAGGCGGGUCUCUGGGCCGUAACUGACGCUGAGGAGCGAAAGCAUGGGGAGCGAACAGG